CUUCAUCAGCGCAGCUACUCUGAAGAAGAGACGAUCUUUCAUUUCAUUGCAAGAUGCUAAUACAACUGACGAGGAGAUGAGACUGUUGAAUUUUACGCAUCCAAUGCUCAUUGUAAAAGAUUGGGAUACAGGCAAGAGAUGAGCUGAAAGUAUACGCUUAUAUCGUUUCCCGCAGUACAAUAAACUAUGGUCGCAUAGAUUUUGUCUAUCGGGUAUCAUUACA